CCUACGGGAGGCAGCAGUGGGGAAUAUUGGGCAAUGGGCGCAAGCCUGACCCAGCAACGCCGCGUGAAGGAAGAAGGCUGUCGGGUUGUAAACUUCUUUUCUCAGGGACGAAGCAAGUGACGGUACCUGAGGAAUAAGCCACGGCUAACUACGUGCCAGAAGCCGCGGUAAUACGUAGGUGGCACGCGUUAUCCGGAUUUACUGGGUGUAAAGGGCGUGUAGGCGGGACUGCAAGUCAGAUGUGAAAACCACGGGCUCAACCUGUGGCCUGCAUUUGAAACUGUAGUUCUUGAGUACGUGGGAGGCAGACGGAAUUCCUAGUGUAGCGGUGAAAUGCGUAGAUAUUAGGAGGAACACCAGUGGCGAAGGCGGUCUGCUGGACAGCAACUGACGCUGAGGCGCGAAAGCGUGGGGAGCAAACAGGAUUAGAUACCCGUGUAGUC
rnacentral:rRNA from 1 species